CCUACGGGGGGCUGCAGUGGGGAAUAUUGGACAAUGGGGGGAACCCUGAUCCAGCCAUGCCGCGUGUGUGAAGAAGGCCCUCGGGUUGUAAAGCACUUUCAGUGAGGAAGAACGCCUGGUGGUUAAUACCCAUCAGGAAGGACAUCACUCACAGAAGAAGCACCGGCUAACUCCGUGCCAGCAGCCGCGGUAAUACGGAGGGUGCGAGCGUUAAUCGGAAUUACUGGGCGUAAAGCGCGCGUAGGUGGCUGGAUAAGCCGGUUGUGAAAGCCCCGGGCUCAACCUGGGAACGGCAUCCGGAACUGUCAAGCUAGAGUGCAGGAGAGGAAGGUAGAAUUCCCGGUGUAGCGGUGAAAUGCGUAGAGAUCGGGAGGAAUACCAGUGGCGAAGGCGGCCUUCUGGACUGACACUGACACUGAGGUGCGAAAGCGUGGGUAGCAAACAGGAUUAGAUACCCCUGUAGUC
rnacentral:rRNA from 1 species